rfam:Agrilus planipennis Contig9700, whole genome shotgun sequence.
CCUCUCGUAGUUUAGUGGUAGAACAUUGGUGCGUAAAGCCAAAGGUCCCGGGUUCGAUUCCCGGUGGGGGUA